CACUAUUCAACAAUUAUGGAAGGCACCCUUUAGUGUAUUAACCUUAUGAAGGACUUUACAGGUCUCGUGGCUGAAGCGCAUAUUGCAGUAUUCAUUUGAGACUGGGUCAGGAUAUAAUAUAUUGUUUACUCUUAUUGUUCAUUCUUUAUGGUAUGAAGUGAUGUACUAUAGAUUGUAUCCAGCUUUUUUUUCUUUAAAUUUGUUAUUUUUGCGUGCAAGAAAAGAGCAGUUACAUAUGCGUUUGUAAUGCCCCAAGAGCAUGUACUCACAAUCUAACAGUAGUAUCCAGCUUUUUUGAUACUGAAUUAACUUGUGUAUAAUAUACAUUUUAAAAAAAUAAACAAUUUUGAGCAUCGAUUUUUGGAGUGCGGUAUCAUUCUCUAUGUUUUGGUAAGAAAGUGAGAAACAUGGAAAGAUGGGAAAGUGGGCAAGUAAGUUGAGGCAGGUGACUCUGGAAGAAGCAGCAUGUGACAGAAAGAGGUGGUAAGGAGGAGGAGAGGGAAUGUAUGUAGAGAAACUAAAUAGCUAUAUGGCUGACAAAGAAGGAUGUAUACUAACAUGGGAGAGGAAAUAUUGAAGGUAGUUUGCCAUGAGAAUGAGGUGGAGGUUUACUGCCAUGAAAACGUGAGGAGCGAGGAGAAGUUGACAAAUAGACACAAGAUUAUACAGAAGGCAGAGGACCAAGAAGACAUAAUGACUGGAAGAUUGAAAUUCCCAGCUCUAUCACUUAUAAGAAGCAUAUAGGUCCUUCUUAAACAUCUCUGUGGGAAGGUGGCUUACUGGCUUGAUCUUUACAUUAUCAUAAUAUACUGAACAUUCUGUACAUUCUAAUGUAAUUAAAAUGUUCCAUUCUACAGAUUUCUAAACCAGAGCAUCUAAUGAGAAAAAUGUGAUAACAUGGUAAGCUAGAGAGUUAACUUGCAAGAAGAAGAGACUGAAAUGGGGUAACUAGAAGAGUAUUCUCAAAUCUCAGUCCCUAUACCCUAUUGAAAAACUGCUCUACUAGUAUGUGGUGACAAAUUGCCAGUCCUAGAGCAUAAAAACGAACCUAUGCAAAAUAAUAAAUCUUUAUUGGUCCCUCUUAAGGGUUAGACAACUCAUAGUGAAAAAAGGUGUAUGUACAGUAAAGUGCAAAUUAAAAAUACGUUAAAGGAAAUAAAGACCUACUGAUAAUUCUGCUAGCUAUGCAAGCAUCACACCAUAUCGACUAGAUAUUUCAUGAAUAGUUACAGUAUUUUAUAAACUGCUGCUAGUAACUCUUUUGCAACAGUGUAUCAAUAGCUGAUAUUGUUUAGCUGUGUAUCUAGGGGAGAAAAAGUAACCACUGUGAUAGAUGGCUCCAAAAAACUGUAUCCCACGCUCAAUAAUAUAGCAAUAUUGCCCAAGUAUGUGCAAAUAAGAGCGGGUAAAUACGGAGUCCUAAUAUGGUAUCUCUAGGUUAGGGGAACUACAGAUCAUCAGGGUAGUAUGGAGAUUAUAUCAGAGUAUUUGGGAACAAAUAAUAAACGGCAGCGUUGCUCGAACCAAUAAUGUGGUCGAGAUACUAGCCGUAACAGUUGUCAUAAAGCCCCAAUUAUAACACUCAGUAAAUCCCCCACACUAUAGUUAGAUAAAAGUAGUCUUAAUAUAAUGAGACGGGCAAUAGCAGAGUGUAGCCAGA